AUGGCGCUCUUCAGGGCUUCUACCACCAUCUCCUUGGGCAAUGGGAGAAAAUCCUUAUUCUGGCACGACGACUGGACAGGACGGGGCCCCCUGUCCCGGGCCUUCCCGGAGCUGUACAAAAUUGCCACCAGGAAGAGGAGAACUGUGAUGAAGGAGCUCCAGGAGGAGAACUGGAUCAGAUUGGUGGCCCGUCUUUCGUCGCCUACCCAUCUGCAGGAGUUCAUUGCCCUCGCAUCAGCUAUCUCUCAGGUUGAGUUGAACCCGGACCAGGAGGAUUCCAUCACUUGGCGGUGGACCCCAAAUGGCAUAUACUCUGCUGCUUCGGCCUACACGGCCCAGUUCUCUGCAUCCUAUCCCAGGUUUUCCCCAGCCAAGAUUUGGGAGGCACACGUUGAGCCAAAAUGCAAGUUCUUCGCCUGGCUUGUGCUCCACGGAAAAAUCCUCACGGCCGACAUGCUAGCCGUUCGUGGCUGGCCGCACGACCCUCGCUGCCCCCUUUGCCUUGGGGCACCGGAGACGGCCACUCAUCUCUGUAAGGACUACCCGUUUGCAGCCGCAGUUUGGUCUCACGUCCAGGUGUGGACGGGAGAGGAUUCUGGGGCCACGCCCAUGUUGCCCCCUUCGAUGGGGAUUUCGGACUGGUGGGAUUCGUUCACCACCAAUUUGCCCAAGGACGACGGAAGAAGGCGGAGCGGCCGCUUCCUUUACACCAUCUGGAACAUCUGGAAGGAGCGAAACCGCCGCAUCUUCAAUGGAACUCGCCUCACGCACCUAGAGGUAGCAGCUAUUGCCUUCGACGACAUCAAGCAAAGGACUUUGGCCUUUGGCCGAGCACAGGUAGCAGCCGGUAUCGGUUGA
rnacentral:rRNA from 1 species